rnacentral:tRNA from 1 species
GGCCUUGCAUGCCCGGCGUGGUCGCUGGGGCCGGACUUCAAAUCCGGUUGGCUCGAUAAGGGCCAGGGGUUCGAUUCCCCUGCGAGGCCG